rnacentral:rRNA from 1 species
AGGGUUCGAUUAUGGCUCAGGAUGAACGCUGGCGGCGUGCUUAACACAUGCAAGUCGAACGAACCUUCGGGUUAGUGGCGGACGGGUGAGUAACGCGUGAGAAUCUGCCCUCAGGAGGGGGAUAACGGCUGGAAACGGCCGCUAAUACCCCAUAUGCCGCGAGGUGAAAUGAAUUUCGCCUGAGGAUGAGCUCGCGUCUGAUUAGCUAGUUGGUGGGGUAAAGGCCUACCAAGGCAUCGAUCAGUAGCUGGUCUGAGAGGAUGAUCAGCCACACUGGGACUGAGACACGGCCCAGACUCCUACGGGAGGCAGCAGUGGGGAAUUUUCCGCAAUGGGCGAAAGCCUGACGGAGCAACGCCGCGUGAGGGAUGAAGGCCUCUGGGCUGUAAACCUCUUUUAUCAAGGAAGAAGAUCUGACGGUACUUGAUGAAUAAGCCACGGCUAAUUCCGUGCCAGCAGCCGCGGUAAUACGGGAGUGGCAAGCGUUAUCCGGAAUUAUUGGGCGUAAAGCGUCCGCAGGCGGCCCUUCAAGUCUGCUGUUAAAAAGUGGAGCUUAACUCCAUCAUGGCAGUGGAAACUGUUGGGCUUGAGUGUGGUAGGGGCAGAGGGAAUUCCCGGUGUAGCGGUGAAAUGCGUAGAUAUCGGGAAGAACACCAGUGGCGAAGGCGCUCUGCUGGGCCAUCACUGACGCUCAUGGACGAAAGCCAGGGGAGCGAAAGGGAUUAGAUACCCCUGUAGUCCUGGCCGUAAACGAUGAACACUAGGUGUCGGGGGAAUCGACCCCCUCGGUGUCGUAGCCAACGCGUUAAGUGUUCCGCCUGGGGAGUACGCACGCAAGUGUGAAACUCAAAGGAAUUGACGGGGGCCCGCACAAGCGGUGGAGUAUGUGGUUUAAUUCGAUGCAACGCGAAGAACCUUACCAGGGUUUGACAUCCUGCGAAUUUCUGGGAAACCGGAAAGUGCCUUCGGGAGCGCAGUGACAGGUGGUGCAUGGCUGUCGUCAGCUCGUGUCGUGAGAUGUUGGGUUAAGUCCCGCAACGAGCGCAACCCACGUCUUUAGUUGCCAGCAUUCAGUUGGGCACUCUAGAGAGACCGCCGGUGAUAAACCGGAGGAAGGUGUGGAUGACGUCAAGUCAUCAUGCCCCUUACAUCCUGGGCUACACACGUACUACAAUGCUACGGACAAAGGGCAGCAAGUUCGCGAGGACAAGCAAAUCCCAUAAACCGUGGCUCAGUUCAGAUCGUAGGCUGCAACUCGCCUACGUGAAGGAGGAAUCGCUAGUAAUCGCAGGUCAGCAUACUGCGGUGAAUACGUUCCCGGGCCUUGUACACACCGCCCGUCACACCAUGGAAGUUGGCCACGCCCGAAGCCGUUACUCCAACCCUUGUGGAGGAGGACGUCGAAGGUGGGGCUGAUGACUGGGGUGAAGUCGUAACAAGGUAACCA